GCAUGGUGGCAAAGUGGUUAGCGCUGCUGCCUCACACAAGAAGGUCGUGGGUUCAAAUCCAGCCCAAGGCC